GAUCUAUGCCAUGUUGAGGACAAAUCCUCAAGUGUGCCAAAGAACUCAUUCAACAUAUGAAGCAUCUCUUUUGGUUGAGCAUCAUCAAAUUUACAACUAAAUUUGUCACUCAUAGUAGUCCUCAUUAUGCAACAUACUGUCAUACAAUCAUUGAGCCACUUCUGAUAAGCGUCUCUCAUCAUCGCAUCUAAAUUGGAAGCUUGUACUUUAGGUAUUGAAUCUGUAAUCACAUAUAGGAUCCUCUCAUACUCGAGAACUAUUCUCAACUUUUGAUAUCAAUUAUCAAAAUUGGAUCUCAUAAAUUUGUUACUAUCCAAUAGUGAGUGGAGCGA
rnacentral:lncRNA from 1 species